rnacentral:rRNA from 1 species
GAUGAACGCUGGCGGCGUGCCUAAUACAUGCAAGUCGAGCGAACAGACGAGGAGCUUGCUCCUCUGACGUUAGCGGCGGACGGGUGAGUAACACGUGGAUAACCUACCUAUAAGACUGGGAUAACUUCGGGAAACCGGAGCUAAUACCGGAUAAUAUAUUGAACCGCAUGGUUCAAUAGUGAAAGACGGUUUUGCUGUCACUUAUAGACGGAUCCGCGCCGCAUUAGCUAGUUGGUAAGGUAACGGCUUACCAAGGCAACGAUGCGUAGCCGACCUGAGAGGGUGAUCGGCCACACUGGAACUGAGACACGGUCCAGACUCCUACGGGAGGCAGCAGUAGGGAAUCUUCCGCAAUGGGCGAAAGCCUGACGGAGCAACGCCGCGUGAGUGAUGAAGGUCUUCGGAUCGUAAAACUCUGUUAUUAGGGAAGAACAAAUGUGUAAGUAACUAUGUACGUCUUGACGGUACCUAAUCAGAAAGCCACGGCUAACUACGUG